CUCAGGGCCUAAAGAGUUAACAAGGCACUUUUUCUCGUGUUAGGUUUCCUGUUUAGAGAUGGUCUGGUCUCUUCCUGAGCACUGUGGAACAGAUCACUGCUCCGGCUCAUCUCCUCAAGGGCUCGGGGUUUGCUCCGAGAUUGGUUUACACGGGAACAGAUCCUCUGUGCCUUCGGCCACGAUGUUGCAUUUUGAAAUGCAAGCCUUGCUGCCAGAGCUGUGGUUUGUGCCGCAAACCUCUGCGUCUCGCAAGCCUCUUCCCUUCAGCAGAGGGCAGUGAUCUUGCGUGCACGUCGCCGCCUCCUUCCAGCGUGUCUGGCCUCUUCAUCUCCGUGGGGAUCGUCUGGUGGUCACAGACUCGGCCUCACGGAGAAGGGGCUAAUGCCUUCUCCAGCAGUGGCAGAGAGGAGGUCUGAGUGGGCACCUUCAAG